rnacentral:rRNA from 1 species
UACGUAGGGGGCUAGCGUUGUCCGGAAUCAUUGGGCGUAAAGCGCGUGUAGGCGGUCCGGUAAGUCCGCUGUGAAAGUCGGGGGCUCAACCCUCGGAUGCCGGUGGAUACUGUCGGGCUUGAGUACGGAAGAGGCGAGUGGAAUUCCCGGUGUAGCGGUGAAAUGCGCAGAUAUCGGGAAGAACACCCGUGGCGAAGGCGGCUGCUCUGGGACGGUACUGACGCUGAGACGGCGAAAGCGUGGGGAGCGAAC